AUGGCGAGGCGGCCCUACCUCCGGCAGCGCUCCUCCCGGACCAGACCCAACCCCCGCACCACCAGCUUGACCUCCUAUUUCCUUCCCAACGCCCGGCACAGCCCGCCCUCCUCUCCGACUUCUGUCAUGGAGAACCCUCCUCUCCGACUUUCGGCCUCUCCCGGACCUUUGGCCGGUGCUGCAGGACGUACACAAUACCUGCCCUCCAUGCCAUUGCAACUUGCAGGCGCGAAGUCCAUCGCCUUGUCUAUAUCCAGCGGCCAUCUACACGGCUGCACGCCAACUGUUCGGUCAAUUGACCCAACAGACAGGAGGUAA
rnacentral:rRNA from 1 species